CCUACGGGAGGCAGCAGUGAGGAAUAUUGGUCAAUGGACGAGAGUCUGAACCAGCCAAGUAGCGUGAAGGAUGACUGCCCUAUGGGUUGUAAACUUCUUUUAUAAAGGAAUAAAACGCGGCACGUGUGCCUUUUUGCAUGUACUUUAUGAAUAAGGAUCGGCUAACUCCGUGCCAGCAGCCGCGGUAAUACGGAGGAUCCGAGCGUUAUCCGGCUUUAUUGGGUUUAAAGGGAGCGUAGAUGGGUUGUUAAGUCAGUUGUGAAAGUUUGCGGCUCAACCGGAAAAUUGCAGUUGAUACUGGCAGUCUUGAGUACAGUUGAGGUAGGCGGAAUUCGUGGUGUAGCGGUGAAAUGCUUAGAUAUCACGAAGAACCCCGAUUGCGAAGGCAGCUUACUAAACUGUGACUGACAUUGAUGCUCGAAAGUGUGGGUAUCGAACAGGAUUAGAUACCCCGGUAGUC
rnacentral:rRNA from 1 species